rnacentral:rRNA from 1 species
AGUGAACGCUGGCGGUAGGCCUAACACAUGCAAGUCGAACGGCAGCACAGUAAGAGCUUGCUCUUACGGGUGGCGAGUGGCGGACGGGUGAGGAAUACAUCGGAAUCUACUUUUUCGUGGGGGAUAACGUAGGGAAACUUACGCUAAUACCGCAUACGACCUACGGGUGAAAGCAGUGGAUCUUCGGACCUUGCGCGAUUGAAUGAGCCGAUGUCGGAUUAGCUAGUUGGCGGGGUAAAGGCCCACCAAGGCGACGAUCCGUAGCUGGUCUGAGAGGAUGAUCAGCCACACUGGAAAUGAGACACGGUCCAGACUCCUACGGGAGGCAGCAGUGGGGAAUAUUGGACAAUGGGCGCAAGCCUGAUCCAGCCAUACCGCGUGGGUGAAGAAGGCCUUCGGGUUGUAAAGCCCUUUUGUUGGGAAAGAAAAGCAGCAGGUUAAUACCCCGCUGUUCUGACGGUACCCAAAGAAUAAGCACCGGCUAACUUCGUG